UCCGAAGGGGGCUAUCGUUGUUCGGAAUUACUGGGCGUAAAGCGCACGUAGGCGGAUUAGUAAGUCAGGGGUGAAAUCCCGGGGCUCAACCUCGGAACUGCCUUUGAUACUGCUGAUCUCGAGUCCGGAAGAGGUGAGUGGAAUUCCUAGUGUAGAGGUGAAAUUCGUAGAUAUUAGGAAGAACACCAGUGGCGAAGGCGGCUCACUGGUCCGGUAAUGACGCUGAGGUGCGAAAGCGUGGGGAGCAAACAGG
rnacentral:rRNA from 1 species